UGGGGAAUCUUGGACAAUGGGCGCAAGCCUGAUCCAGCCAUGCCGCGUGAGUGAUGAAGGCCUUAGGGUUGUAAAGCUCUUUUUGCCGGGGACGAUAAUGACGGUACCCGGAGAAUAAGUCCCGGCUAACUUCGUGCCAGCAGCCGCGGUAAUACGAAGGGGACUAGCGUUGUUCGGAAUCACUGGGCGUAAAGCGCACGUAGGCGGAUUUGUAAGUCAGGGGUGAAAUCCCGGGGCUCAACCUCGGAACUGCCUUUGAUACUGCGGAUCUCGAGUCCGAUAGAGGUGAGUGGAAUUCCUAGUGUAGAGGUGAAAUUCGUAGAUAUUAGGAAGAACACCGGUGGCGAAGGCGGCUCACUGGAUCGGUACUGACGCUGAGGUGCGAAAGCGUGGGGAGCAAACAGGAUUAGAUACCCGAGUAGUCCCUGAGCGGGCUGGCAAGGCGCAU
rnacentral:rRNA from 1 species